GGGGCGCGCUGCGGCCUCUGCCGGCCGCACUUGAGGAUGUGAAGCAUUAAAUAACAUUAAGAAUUAACAGGUGCCAAAGGAGUCGCGUUCCUUUUUCCGUGGGAAGGAGGUCAGCGCCGGCGGCGUGGGUGUCGCAACAGAUGGCUAAGAUUUUGCUCAUGACCUGUGAGCACUGCACCGGACACUUUCUUUAUGCAUCUCCAUAAUCUCAUCCUGCAGCUUCUCCAGGUAUCCCUUCCUGCAGUAAUCAAAACUGAGGUUACUGUGAAGCUUUAGCCCUGAUGAUUGACAAGAAAGCAAUCUAAAGCGACCUGGCACCUAAACGUGAGCUUUCCUAGAAGAGAAAGAAAAGAGGUAGAUGUGGAUCCGCCUUGUUCACCUCAGUAGUUGAGUGCUGAGACCCAGCAAUAAACAUCUUGCUGAACUGCUGACAAACCCUGUGAGCCUGAGAUUGCUUACAAAAUCUUGGAAUUGCUCAGAGAGCUUUAGUGGAAGAAGUCUGCUUUUAUUUUUCCAAUCAGUCUCACUUGAAAUUUCUUAGCUAUUUUGCUUUCAUUUUAGAAACUCCUUAGAAGGGGAUGUUGGUAUUAUUUUUAAGCUUAAUCUCUCUGAAACUGGCUUUUGCGUACUUUAUCUGCACUGAUUUACAUUUGGAACAUUGCUGUCCUCAGAAGGUGAAUACCUGUUUUUCACUGAUACAGUUUCCUACAGAAGAUUUUAACAAAAGGCCCGGUUUCUUCUUGCUUUUGACUUGAGGAUCCAUGCAAAAUCUUGGGCAGUGUAUACAUGUUGCUCUACUUAGUUUGAAAUAGAAUGCACUUUACUAUGUAAGAUUUACGGAGUAUUUGAUUUUGACAUAAAAACAAAAUGCUUUUCAGAAGCUGUGUUUGGAAACAAAAUGUACAUUCCUGUAAUACCAGUGAGGAGAAUCAAAUAGUUUGUUAGUGUGGAUGUGGGGAGUCAUCUUUAAAACAUUACAUAACUCUUCUAGGGAGGGAAAGGAAGAAAAUUUACACUUUUUAGCCUUCAGGGGAAUUUUAUACACACAACGUAUAAUUACUCAACUUGAAAUUUAUUCAAGAAGCUAGAGUUAACCACCUUCCUCUCACAAAAAAUAUAACAAUGGCAAUAUACAACAAUCACGAGUUUCAAUUUAAAAGCGAGAGACCAUGAAUGAAAAGCCAUUAUUUCAUGUGUGCUGUUGCUUAUUAUUCCCAAUUCCCUUCUCUGGUGAUCAUGUUGCCACUCUGUGCUCAACUCGUGCACCCUUCUAGACCCAGAGGCAACACAAGUGGUUUUUUACUGCCUGGAGAUUCUGCUGGGGAAUUUAAGGAAUCCUGUCCCUGCUCAUGGGUUCAUGUGCAACACCACCAACAUAUGAAUGUGGAUGUCGGUGAAAGUGUCAGCUCUACCUGGGUGCUACCUGGAAACUCCGGCUUGCACAUUUCAACAGUGCCUGAUGAGGGAAAUCCCCCUGCUUCCCACCAUGUAUUGGCGUUUCGGCUCCAGAUGAUAUCUUCUGUGCAUAAUAACUUCCACGCUCUGAGGGUACCUUGUGACUUUGUCCACCUUUAAUCGCGUUCAGGCAGGAGAGCGGCUUCCCUCCCCUGUGCGUGGGCUGGUGUCCCGCUGCUGCCGCUCGGGAACGGUUUGCUCGCUCCGCAGCUCAGCCAGCACCGCAUCACAUUGUUUGGGAAGUCGGCGGGGCUGCCGGGUACCAGGAUAAAGUUCUGGGAAAGGCGUCACUGCAAGAGGAGUGAGUACUGCACUGUGUGCUGCGCGGAGGCUGCGGCCAUCGUUCGGGAACUGCGGCACCGGUGGAGCACCGUGUAACCUUCUGACAGUGCACACAGGAACCACAGUUACAGCCAGUCACUGAUUCCUUUCCUGCCUGAGUGCCACAAAAUAUAUCCAGAAAUGGAAGGAGAUAAAGGGCAAAGCGCUAAAGCUACCAGUGCAGUGGGUGACCUGAGGAAAAGUUGGCAGACCUGGGCAGAGGAUCACAUUGAGUAUCAGAGGAAGAAUCCGUUCAGCAGUGACGACAGGCUUGCGUCUAAACCUGCGCAUACUCACAGAGGAGAUCCUACCUACGGGAGACCCCCUGAAGGGUCUCGGACAGAGCAGAGAGGGAAAGAUGCUCACUCACACGUGGGUAAGGAGGUAGAAGAGCUGUGCUUGAUCAUCAGAAGAACUGGAGAGGUGGGAGAAGAUGGACACGUGAGUGUGACAUUCGGGCAGCUGUUUGAAACGUAUGUGACUAUUUCCAAUAAAGUAGUGGGAAUCUUGUUACGAGCCAGAAAACACGGUCUGGUUCAUUUUGAAGGUGAAAUGCUUUGGCAAGGAAAAGAUGAUGAUGUGGUCAUCACUCUACUACAAUAAGGCUUUGUCCUGGAAUGAACUUUGCCGCGUGGUUCCAUUUGGAAAAACAUAUCUAGAUACCAUCUUUACAGGUUUUGGUUACAGAAUUUCAACUCAGCUACCUACUGGGACACAAGCAGGAGAGUAAAUGGGCGAGAAGGACAAAUCAUAGUUUAAUAAAAAUGGUAGAGAUUUGGACAGAAAUCGCUGAUUAUGAGCUACUCCAUCACGCUGAUGUUGGAUUGUCCUUAUUAUCAUGUACUACCAAGUAUAUGAGAGUUCUUCAACUAACUCUGCUGUCCUACUGCAUUUAGGUUACUGAAAGUAGAAAUUACUAACUUGCUAUCCUACAACACUGAUUCUGCAGGUUGUGAAAUACUGCAUGGGAGAAUGGGAUUUGCAAAACGUGGAAUUGAAAACUCUUGUGGGAAUUCAUAUACUUCUUCAAACAAGGAGUCUGGUCUAUAGCAAAAGUUUUGGUUCAAUCUCACAUGGUUAAACUAAAUAAGUGGAAGUUAGUUUCAUGAAGUAGAUGCAAAUUCCAAAACUUACAAAAAUAUCACAGAAAGAAUACUUGAUGGUUCCUAAAUUAGUUGCAUCUUGGAUUUUGGACAGCUGCACUAGUUCCGGUAUUUAGUAGUCUAAUCUUACAAUCGUAUCUUCUCCAAACCUUCUGUGUCUCUUGUUCUUUUUGUUUUCUAUCUCACACCAUUUUUACAUUUUCUGUUCUUCUAACAUUUCAGAAGAAGUCUGCAAAGCUCUGCAGCCUUUUUGACGAAUUCAGCUAUACCCCUUCGUAGAAGGUAGGGUGCCACAUUGUAAAGAUGCAGAAGUCAACAGAAACUCUGUAUUGGGGUACCUGUGCAUUCAUGAGGAAAAAAAGGCUCUUCUUUCACCAAAAUGUAGCAAAUUUUUUGUAAAAGGAGAGAUACUGUAGUGCCAAAUGCAUAAAUAAAAGUAUAGCAGCACAAUCCCAUACCUCAUUUACCUAUUUCAGAGCACAGUUGCAAGCUCUUCAGAAAGAAAAAUAAAGGAUUGGUUAAUGAAAUAGUUGUAAUAGUGCUAUGAAAAAUAAUCAGGAGCUGUGUUUACAGUAGUUCCCACCAAUAAAGCUGUAUAAUUAGAAAUCUAAAGUUCUAUUUUUAGCAGUGCAAAUAGAAGCUUCUGUGUGGUGUUAACUACACUACUUGAUGGGUCUUUAAAGUAAGAUAGUGUCUUGCAUCAAAAAGAUAUUAAAAUUUAAUUUAAAUUAGGAACUUGAUAAAAGUGAUGUAAAAUUCUAUGCUAUUUAUAUAAAAGAACUAUUGCAAAAAGCCUAAAAGAAUGGGAUUUUGUUUUGAUGUUGUCAUCCAGUGGGGAUUUGCACCAAACUAAAUCUUUGGCUGAGGAUUUCAUUUUUACCCUGCCUUCCUUUUUUUUCUAGUGAAAGGACAAUGAAAAGAGAGAAAAAAGGAAUAAGUUCAUGUGCUGAAAUAAGUGUAUCUGGGGAACAGGGCAGUCAGAUGCAGUAGAGAAUGGGUUUUAAUCAACACGUAAUUUUAGCACAUUGGAAAAGGGGGAGUAUGUGCUGCACCAGGCAGUGUUGGUAUGCUCUCUUAGGUUUCAAACCUACUGCUUCUUUCUAAACAGAACUAUAUCUGGCAGCUGAAAAAGAGGACAUGUUGUUUGUGACCUUAACAUAUUUAAAAUGCUUUGUUGUUUUUUUUUUUUUUGGAAAAGCAUUUCUUGCCAGAUGACAUAAGCACAUCUCAGGAUAUUUCAGCUUCUGUUAGAGGAAGUUUUUAUAUGCAUUCAAACUUCAACACAAAUUGAGCUUUUUAUAGUGCAGAUAUGGAAUAAGUUUUGUUUGAUCCUAACAAUUCUGAAAUCCACUCAGUUCUGCUGUAGUGUCAAGUUCCUAACUUGCAGAAAGCAGCAUCAGGCACUUCAAGAGUCAUCAGCUGAAUAACAGGAUGGCACUAUCAGGAAAAUGAAUACAUUGCCGGACAUUGUACAAAUAAUUGAUUGCAAGACACACAUGAGGCAGUAUGUAGCCUGAGCAUUGUAAGAUGCAAGUCCAGCUCACAGAAAUUUAUUACAUUUUAAUUAAGGCUGGCUCAAAUAGCUAAGUAUCAGCAAUCUAGGCUCUCACUGCCAUGCAAGUGGUAGAUGCACGAGCACAUUCAAGCACUUUUUAAGUACACCUCUGACAAAAACAGAAGCAGAGCAAACCCUUCAAUGACAUGGUCUUACCUACGUUGUAAGCAACUAAAAAGAGCUUGCUCUAUUAUUAUAUUUUUAAUAGAUCCAAGGAUUACUAUAUAACAAAAGUAUUACAGAGGGAUUUUUUUAAAACAGUUACAGAGCCAUGUUUCCAAUCUGCCAGCUUUAGAUGAGCAUUCUGGUAAGUGUGACUGAAAUAUUUCUGUGUGCCCAUGCAGUGAUUAUAAACACGGAGCUGCCAAACUGGUUCAGCACACCAGGUUGACAAAUCCAGUCUUGUGCUUCCAGCAAUAGCCAGUAUUUCAAAAAAAGACAAAAAGACAGAUAAUAGAAUGUAUGUAAUGUACCAGUGGUCAGCUUGCCCACUGGUACACUCUAGAAUAAAAACUUACACCUGAAGCCUGUAUAGUCAUGAACACAUCAUGUGUAAUGCAUAUGACUCCAUUUAGGUACAAGUUUUACAAAAUUAUGCUUCAUCUGUGAUUAGAUUGACAUCUACAGAUGAAUUAGAAAUUUAAACUUUUCAACAUGCAACUUUUUUUUUCAUUAGGCUCCUAUUAGAGUAAGUGGAACAGAAUUUAUUAAAUUAUUAUUGCAAAAAAUGUAGCAUGUGAGGGGUUCUAGUAUUACAGAUUAUUUGGAGUAGUAAGUAAACCCCAACCUUUUAAAAGGUGUUCUUGCCCUACUAAGCAUCUUUCAGCUGUUUAAAUCUCUCCUAAACUUCACUUUGUGACAGAUUACCUCAGUAGUCUUUUCCUCUCACUUGAAGCUUCUAAACUCUGCAUCUAUUUUGGACUGUAUAUCAUAUAGGGAUUAUCUGUGAUUCGUUUUGUCAAACACUAAAGGCACUGUCACCAUUUCAAUAAAUGUUGCACAUUAGUUUGAAAUGACAAGUUUUUAUGCAGCAUUUUAUUGUGUACAAACUUCUCAGAUUUCAAGUACAAUUUUCACAGGUUUGCUCUCAUUCUCCUACUUUUAUUUACAACUCCCACUUAAAAAUACUUUGGAGUAGUCUGAAGAGCUAUUACCAAUUUAAGCACAUUAUUUUCAACAACAUUUUAUGUGUAUCUGUUUCAUCCUUUCAGCAUAAGGACAUUAUUCUCUGGGUUUGUGUUAGGUUGGGAGUUUAUGUAAAACAAUUGAGGAAAACAGUACAAAUAAAGCUUUGUCAUUCCUAAACAUGAGGUCAAAAAAGCAGCUUUUCUCAAGACUGCUAAUGCUAGAUCAAAGAACAGAGCCAGCAGCAGUGGCUAAACAACUUUCCUUUGCUUCUCCAGGCUCUUGGAGAGUAAGAGCUUCUGCGUUCAUGCUCCUUAUUGAUCUUUGCUCCUUAGAAAGUUCUACAGAUGAUUUCUGAAGUUUUAAAUUACUAAAAGCUUCUAUAGAAGACAGUGACUAAGUUAAUAGGAUCUGCCCACUGUCUCUUCCAGGGGCUAGCCAGUAAUUCAGAAAUGUAUUGCAAGUAUUAAGUUAGGCUUUUCAGAAAGUACUUCUUUACCUAAUUAAAAAAAUUAUCUGCAGAGUCCAAGAAUGCUUUGUCAGUGCAGAAGGAAAACAGACCACAGUUCUGUGCUGACAAACACUAACGAGAGGCUGAGCACUACUCAGUAAUUAGUGUGCCUCUGUUUAAUGCUCUGCUGUUUCAGUUGUUUGGAGGCCUGGUUGUUGCUUGUCAGGGAACAUGGGAUUUACCCAUCUUUCUCAUCAGCAAAACUCUGGAAGUGACAUUACACCCAGAUUUUUACCUUUCCAGUCUUGUCAUUUGUGGGGCCCUUCUCCAAAACCGAGGUAUAAAAGUUGGCCUUUGUGCUUUCAUAUACAUUUGGCAACACCGAGAGUCUAGCUGGGAUGGAGGUAACUUCUUCAGAGCAUCCCAGGUUCUGGGUGUGACUGGAAGUGUUGG